rnacentral:sRNA from 1 species
AUCUUUGUAUCUCUUCU